GGUUAAGCGACUAAGCGUACACGGUGGAUGCCCUGGCAGUCAGAGGCGAUGAAGGACGUGCUAAUCUGCGAUAAGCGCCGGUAAGGUGAUAUGAACCGUUAUAACCGGCGAUUUCCGAAUGGGGAAACCCAGUGUGACUCGUCACACUAUCAUUAACUGAAUCCAUAGGUUAAUGAGGCGAACCGGGGGAACUGAAACAUCUAAGUACCCCGAGGAAAAGAAAUCAACCGAGAUUCCCCCAGUAGCGGCGAGCGAACGGGGAUGAGCCCAGAGCCUGAAUCAGCAUGUGUGUUAGUGGAAGCGUCUGGAAAGGCGCGCGAUACAGGGUGACAGCCCCGUACACAAAAGCGCAUAUGCUGUGAGCUCGAUGAGUAGGGCGGGACACGUGGUAUCCUGUCUGAAUAUGGGGGGACCAUCCUCCAAGGCUAAAUACUCCUGACUGACCGAUAGUGAACCAGUACCGUGAGGGAAAGGCGAAAAGAACCCCGGCGAGGGGAGUGAAAAAGAACCUGAAACCGUGUACGUACAAGCAGUGGGAGCCCCACCACUAAGCCAGUGGUGAACUCCACAUACGCAUCCUUUGCUGAGGAUGCGGUUAACGGAGCGAAAGCGACGUUCAACCGCAAAAGAAGCAGAGGGGGCUUAGUGGUGGGGUGACUGCGUACCUUUUGUAUAAUGGGUCAGCGACUUAUAUUCUGUAGCAAGGUUAACCGAAUAGGGGAGCCGGAGGGAAACCGAGUCUUAAUUGGGCGUUAAGUUGCAGGGUAUAGACCCGAAACCCGGUGAUCUAGCCAUGGGCAGGUUGAAGGUUGGGUAACACUAACUGGAGGACCGAACCGACUAAUGUUGAAAAAUUAGCGGAUGACCUGUGGCUGGGGGUGAAAGGCCAAUCAAACCGGGAGAUAGCUGGUUCUCCCCGAAAGCUAUUUAGGUAGCGCCUCGUGAAUUCAUCUCCGGGGGUAGAGCACUGUUUCGGCUAGGGGGCCAUCCCGGCUUACCAACCCGAUGCAAACUGCGAAUACCGGAGAAUGUUAUCACGGGAGACACACGGCGGGUGCUAACGUCCGUCGUGAAGAGGGAAACAACCCAGACCGCCAGCUAAGGUCCCAAAGUCAUGGUUAAGUGGGAAACGAUGUGGGAAGGCCCAGACAGCCAGGAUGUUGGCUUAGAAGCAGCCAUCAUUUAAAGAAAGCGUAAUAGCUCACUGGUCGAGUCGGCCUGCGCGGAAGAUGUAACGGGGCUAAACCAUGCACCGAAGCUGCGGCAGCGACGCUGAUGCGUUGUUGGGUAGGGGAGCGUUCUGUAAGCCUGUGAAGGUGGCCUGUGAGGGUUGCUGGAGGUAUCAGAAGUGCGAAUGCUGACAUAAGUAACGAUAAAGCGGGUGAAAAGCCCGCUCGCCGGAAGACCAAGGGUUCCUGUCCAACGUUAAUCGGGGCAGGGUGAGUCGACCCCUAAGGCGAGGCCGAAAGGCGUAGUCGAUGGGAAACGGGUUAAUAUUCCCGUACUUGGUGUUACUGCGAAGGGGGGACGGAGAAGGCUAUGUUGGCCGGGCGACGGUUGUCCCGGUUUAAGCGUGUAGGUGUGUGUUCCAGGUAAAUCCGGUUCACUUUAACACUGAGGCGUGACGACGAGGCACUACGGUGCUGAAGCAACAAAUGCCCUGCUUCCAGGAAAAGCCUCUAAGCAUCAGGUAACAUCAAAUCGUACCCCAAACCGACACAGGUGGUCAGGUAGAGAAUACCAAGGCGCUUGAGAGAACUCGGGUGAAGGAACUAGGCAAAAUGGUGCCGUAACUUCGGGAGAAGGCACGCUGACAUGUAGGUGAAGUGAUUUACUCAUGGAGCUGAAGUCAGUCGAAGAUACCAGCUGGCUGCAACUGUUUAUUAAAAACACAGCACUGUGCAAACACGAAAGUGGACGUAUACGGUGUGACGCCUGCCCGGUGCCGGAAGGUUAAUUGAUGGGGUCAGCGCAAGCGAAGCUCCUGAUCGAAGCCCCGGUAAACGGCGGCCGUAACUAUAACGGUCCUAAGGUAGCGAAAUUCCUUGUCGGGUAAGUUCCGACCUGCACGAAUGGCGUAAUGAUGGCCAGGCUGUCUCCACCCGAGACUCAGUGAAAUUGAACUCGCUGUGAAGAUGCAGUGUACCCGCGGCAAGACGGAAAGACCCCGUGAACCUUUACUAUAGCUUGACACUGAACAUUGAGCCUUGAUGUGUAGGAUAGGUGGGAGGCUUUGAAGUGUGGACGCCAGUCUGCAUGGAGCCGACCUUGAAAUACCACCCUUUAAUGUUUGAUGUUCUAACGUGGACCCGUAAUCCGGGUUGCGGACAGUGUCUGGUGGGUAGUUUGACUGGGGCGGUCUCCUCCUAAAGAGUAACGGAGGAGCACGAAGGUUGGCUAAUCCUGGUCGGACAUCAGGAGGUUAGUGCAAUGGCAUAAGCCAGCUUGACUGCGAGCGUGACGGCGCGAGCAGGUGCGAAAGCAGGUCAUAGUGAUCCGGUGGUUCUGAAUGGAAGGGCCAUCGCUCAACGGAUAAAAGGUACUCCGGGGAUAACAGGCUGAUACCGCCCAAGAGUUCAUAUCGACGGCGGUGUUUGGCACCUCGAUGUCGGCUCAUCACAUCCUGGGGCUGAAGUAGGUCCCAAGGGUAUGGCUGUUCGCCAUUUAAAGUGGUACGCGAGCUGGGUUUAGAACGUCGUGAGACAGUUCGGUCCCUAUCUGCCGUGGGCGCUGGAGAACUGAGGGGGGCUGCUCCUAGUACGAGAGGACCGGAGUGGACGCAUCACUGGUGUUCGGGUUGUCAUGCCAAUGGCACUGCCCGGUAGCUAAAUGCGGAAGAGAUAAGUGCUGAAAGCAUCUAAGCACGAAACUUGCCCCGAGAUGAGUUCUCCCUGAGACUUUAGGUCUCCUGAAGGAACGUUGAAGACGACGACGUUGAUAGGCCGGGUGUGUAAGCGCAGCGAUGCGUUGAGCUAACCGGUACUAAUGAACCGUGAGGCUUAACCUU
rnacentral:rRNA from 1 species